rnacentral:sRNA from 1 species
GUUUUGGGUGGUAAGCCUUAAGAAAAAGUCACUGACAAAAAGUCGACCACCCAUGAGGGAAAUACUUGGAAUGAGUUAGAGACAAAAAGACAUUUUCAAUUUUUUAUUUUCUACUUGCUAAUAUAAACUGAAAUAAGUCUUCUCUCUUGUAUUUUUUAGUACUGCUGGCGUUGGACAGGUUUCAACUUCGGCUUCGACCUACUUGUAACUUACACCAAUCGAUACAUCAUUUUCAAACGCAAUACACUGAAUCAGCCAUGUAGCGGAUCUGUCAGUUUACAGCCUCGAAGGAGCAUAGCAUUUAGAUUACGUUUGGCUUCUUUUGAUAGUAGUGGAAAACUAAUAUGUAGUAGAACAACUGGCUAUCAAAUACUUACACUUGAAAAGGAUCAGGAACAAGUGGUGAUGAACUUGGACAGCAGGCUUCUGAUCUUCCCUUUAUAUAUCUGCUGUAACUUCUUGUAUAUAUCACCAG